ACCUGGUUGAUCUUGCCAAUAGUCAUAUGCUUACCUAAAAGAUUAAGCCAAGCAAGUGUAGAAGGGAUGCAUUCAAUAAAUAAAAGGUCAACACGAGCUUUGCUUGUUGCUCUAAUAAUUCAUAAUAACUCGACUGAUCGAACGACCGUCAUGCCGACGAUGCAUCAUUCAAAUUUCUGCCUUAUAUAGUUUUGAUUGUAGGAUAGUGGCCUACUUUGGUGGUGACGGGUGACGAAGAAUUAGGGUUCAAUUCCGUAGAAGGAGCUUGAGAAACGGCUACCACAUCCAAGGAAGGUAGCAGGAGUGUGAAUUACCCAAUCCUGAUAUGGGGAAGUAGUGACAAUAAAUAACAAUACCGGACUUUAUGAGUCUGGUAACUGGAAUGUGUACAAUCUAAAUCCCUUAACGAGGAUUCAUUGGAGGGUAAGUCUGGUGUCAGCAAUCGCGGUAAUUCCAGCUCCAAUGCCGUAUGUUUAAGUGGUUGCAGAUAAAAUACUCGUAGUUGAACUUUGGGUUGGGUCGGCCGGUUUGCCCUUGGGUAUGUACCGGUCGUCCCUUCCUUACUACCAGCGAUGUGCUCCUAGUCUUAAUUGACCGGGUCAUGUCUCAAGUGUUGUUACUUUGAAGAAAUUAGAGUGCUCAAAGUAAGCCCAAGCUCUGGAUACAUUAGCAUGGGAUAACAUCAUAGGAUUCUCGUCCUAUUGCGUUGGCCUUCAGGAUCAGAGUAAUGAUUAACAAGGACAUUCGGGGGCAUUCAUAUUUCAUAGUCAAAGGAAAAAUUCUUGGACUUAUGAAAGACGAACUACUGCGAAAGCAUUUUCCAAAGAUGUUUUCAUUAAUCAAUAACAAAAGUUGGGGGCUCGAAGUUGAUUAGAUAUCGUCCUAGUCUCAACCAUUAACGAUGUCGACCAAGGAUCGGCGGAUGUUGCGUAUAGGACUUUGCCAGCACCUUAUGAGAAAUCAGAGUUUUUGGAAUCCGGGGGGAGUUUGGUCGGAAGGAUGAAACUUAUAGGAAUUGUCGGAAGGGCACCACCAGGAGUGGAGCCUGUGGCUUAAUUUGACUCAACACAUGGAAACUUACCAGUUCCAAACAUAGUAAGGAUUGACAAACUGAAAGUUCUUUCUUGAUUCUAUGGGUGGUGGUGCAUUUUCAUACUUAGUUGGUGGAAACGAGACCUCAGCCUGCUAACUUGCUAUGUGGAGGUGACCCUCCACGGCCAGUUCCUUAGAGGGACUAUAGUCAUUUAGGCCAUGGAAUUUUGAGGCAAUAACAGGUCUGUGAUGCCCUUAUAUGUUAAUGGUCGCACGCACGCUACACCGAUGAAUUCAAUGAGUCUAUAGCCUUGGCCGACAUACCAGGGUAAUCUUUGAAAAUUUCAUCGUGAUGGAGAUGGAUCAUUGAAAUAGUUGGUAUUUAACAAGAAAUUCCUAGUAAGCGCGAGUCAUCCGUUUGCGUUGACUACGUCCCUACCAUUUGUACACACCGCCCGUCACUCCUACCAAUUGAAUGGUUCGGUGAAAUGUUUGGAUUGUGCCGACAUGGGUGGUUCGUCGUCGACGACGUCGCAAGAAGUCCACUAAACCUUAUCAUUUAGAGGAAGGAGAAGUCGUAACAAGGUUUUUGUAGGUGUUCUGUGAUAG
rnacentral:rRNA from 1 species